AACGCGAAGAACCUUACCAGGUCUUGACAUCCUCUGACAACCCUAGAGAUAGGGCCUUCCCCUUCGGGGGACAGAGUGACAGGUGGUGCAUGGUUGUCGUCAGCUCGUGUCGUGAGAUGUUGGGUUAAGUCCCGCAACGAGCGCAACCCUUGAUCUUAGUUGCCAGCAUUCAGUUGGGCACUCUAAGGUGACUGCCGGUGACAAACCGGAGGAAGGUGGGGAUGACGUCAAAUCAUCAUGCCCCUUAUGACCUGGGCUACACACGUGCUACAAUGGAUGGUACAAAGAGCCCGCAAACCCGCGAGGGUAAGCUAAUCUCAUAAAGCCAUUCUCAGUUCGGAUUGCAGGCUGCAACUCGCCUGCAUGAAGCCGGAAUCGCU
rnacentral:rRNA from 1 species